CCUACGGGUGGCAGCAGUGGGGGAUAUUGCACAAUGGGGGCAACCCUGACCCAGCCAUGCCGCGUGGGUGAAGGAGGGCUUCGGCUCGUAAAGCUCUUUCGGACGUGACGAUGAUGACGGUACCGUCUCAAGAAGCACCGGCAAACUACGUGCCAGCAGCCGCGGUAAUGCGUAGGGGCCAAGCGUUAUCCGGGUUUACUGGGUUUAAAGGGGGGGUAGAAGGGAUUGUAAGUCAGCAGUGAAAGCCCGGGGCCUAACCCCGGGAAUGCUUUUGAAAUGGGAUGGUUGGAGAGGCGGAGAGGCAGGCGGAAUGCGUAGUGUAGCGGUGAAAUGCGUAGAUAUUGCGAAGAACACCGAUGGCGAAGGCAGCAUACUGGCGGGGAUCUGACGUUGAGGCCCGAAAGCGUGGGUAUCGAACAGGAUUAGAUACCCCAGUAGUC
rnacentral:rRNA from 1 species